rnacentral:rRNA from 1 species
CCUACGGGUGGCAGCAGUGAGGAAUAUUGGUCAAUGGGCGAGAGCCUGAACCAGCCAAGUCGCGUGAGGGAAGACGGUCCUAUGGAUUGUAAACCUCUUUUGCCGGGGAGCAAAAAGCGGUACGUGUACCGCAUCGUGAGUACCCGGAGAAAAAGCAUCGGCUAACUCCGUGCCAGCAGCCGCGGUAAUACGGAGGAUCCGAGCGUUAUCCGGAUUUAUUGGGUUUAAAGGGUGCGCAGGCGGCGGGUUAAGUCAGUUGUGAAAGUUCGGGGCUCAACCCCGAAAGGGCAGUUGAACCGGGCAGUCUGGAGUACAGUAGAGGUGGGCGGAAUGCGUGGUGUAGCGGUGAAAUGCUUAG